rnacentral:rRNA from 1 species
GCCAGCAGCCAUAUCACUCCAGUCUGUGACUCUCAACUGGCAGCCCAAUGAAGCUAAGAAGGUGUGAGCCUAGUCAGUACGUGGAUGGGAGACCUCCUGGGAAAACUCAGGUUGCUGCUGGAA